ACGUCUACAUCACGUUGAAACACUGGUUCCCAUAGGAUAACCGAAGUUAAGCAACGUCGAGCAUUGUCAGUACUUCGGUGGGUGAGCUCUUAGGAAUACCAGAUGUUGUAAG